UGCUCUUUACCGCCCACAAGCGAGGAUGGUAAGGGUUUGAGAGGAAGGUCCCCCACAUGGUACUGAGACCCGACAGACUCCUACGGAGGCAGCAGUGAGGAUAUGGUCAAUGGCGCGAGCUGACAGCAAGUCGCGUGAGGGAUAAGUCCUAUGGAUUGUAACUCUUCGUCGGGAGCAAUGAGCGCCACGUGUGGUGCGUGAGAGUACCCGAAGAAAAGCAUCGGCUAACUCCGUGCCAGCAGCCGCGGUAAUACGGAGGAUGCGAGCGUUAUCCGGAUUUAUUGGGUUUAAAGGGUGCGUAGGCGGGGAGCCAAGUCAGCGGUAAAAUCGUGGGGCUCAACCCCAUCCCGCCGUUGAAACUGGUUUUCUUGAGUGGAUGAGAAGUAUGCGGAAUGCGUGGUGUAGCGGUGAAAUGCAUAGAUAUCACGCAGAACUCCGAUUGCGAAGGCAGCAUACCGGCAUCCAACUGACGCUGAAGCACGAAGGCGUGGGUAUCAAACAGGAUUAGAUACCCUGGUAGUCCACGCAGUAAACGAUGAAUGCUAAUUGUCCGGGGCGAGUGAGCCCUGGGUGAUACAGCGAAAGCGUUAAGCAUUCCACCUGGGGAGUACGCCGGCAACGGUGAAACUCAAAGGAAUUGACGGGGGCCCGCACAAGCGGAGGAACAUGUGGUUUAAUUCGAUGAUACGCGAGGAACCUUACCCGGGCUCAAACGUAGCAGGAAUAACUGAGAAAUCAGUUAGUUCUCCGGAACCUGCUACGAGGUGCUGCAUGGUUGUCGUCAGCUCGUGCCGUGAGGUGUCGGCUUAAGUGCCAUAACGAGCGCAACCCCCAUCGACAGUUGCUAACAGGUCAGGCUGAGGACUCUGUCGAGACUGCCGGCGCAAGCUGUGAGGAAGGCGGGGAUGACGUCAAAUCAGCACGGCCCUUACGUCCGGGGCGACACACGUGUUACAAUGGCGGGGACAGCGGGAAGCCACCUGGCGACAGGGAGCGGAACCCGAAACCCCGUCUCAGUUCGGAUUGGAGUCUGCAACCCGACUCCAUGAAGCUGGAUUCGCUAGUAAUCGCGCAUCAGCCACGGCGCGGUGAAUACGUUCCCGGCCUUGUACACACCGCCCGUCAAGGGCGAAUUCGCGGCCGCUAAAUCAAUCGCCACUAUCGAUGAA
rnacentral:rRNA from 1 species